AACGAACGCUUGCGGCGCGCCUAAUACAUGCAAGUCGAACGAGGUAGCAAUACCAAGUGGCGCACGGGUGAGUAACGCGUGGAUAAUCUGCCUAUCAGUGGGGAAUAACUAUCCGAAAGGAUAGCUAAUACCGCAUGAGGCCACAGGAUCUGAGGAUCUAGGGGUUAAAGAUUUAUCGCUGAUAGAUGAGUCUGCGUGGGAUUAGCUAGUUGGNGGGUAACGGCCUACCAAGGCAACGAUCUCUAACAGGUCUGAGAGGAUGGACCUGUCACACUGGAACUGAGACACGGGUCCAGACUCCUACGGGAGGCAGCAGUAGGGAAUAUUGCGCAAUGGGGGAAACCCUGACGCAGCGACGCCGCGUGAGUGAUGAAGGCCUUAGGGUCGUAAAGCUCUGUUGAAUGGGAACAAAAAAAU
rnacentral:rRNA from 1 species